GAUCGUCCAUGAAACUUUCCCAACACUUCUUUCAACUUGUUGUAUCUUGCCUACAAGCACUUCGCCGUGUGAAUAGGUGAAGUACCUCUGCAGGUUUUAUGUUGCUAAAGACUGCAGGCUCAGAUGGUAAUAGAGUGGCGAUAGAUCAAGUACUGGGUACCUCAAGCUCCCGAAUAACAGCAGCGGUAUGCCAUCCGGCUUGUGCAGGACCUCUCAGAUCGCUGAACAAAUGAUCCCCAAAAUAGAGCACCUGCACAGACUCCCAUUAGAUUAGAAUGAGAGGAGAUUGGCUUACACCUAGUAGCAGAUGCAAGUGGACAUUUAAAUGAGAAACAGAAACUGACAGGUGCCUUUUCCUUGCUACAAGCGUCGUCACAAGAGCACAGAAUCAGCAAAGUACGACUUUUCUAAGUGAAGGAAAACCUGAAAGGUCUUUGGGAAUGGUAGAAGUUCGGUUUAUCUGAAAGAGCAAUCACCACCUCAAACAGGUCCCUCCAGUUUUGUGCCUGCCCUGUUUCCUGUUUCAAGCCACGAUAAUAUUUUCACCUUUCGUGGCUCUUCUGAUCAUUUACGCUAUUCCAAGGCAACAGAUGUCCUCUAAAGGAAACAUAUUCCUAAGCAGAUUACCUGAAAGAGGAACUUCAUACCACUGUCGACAAAAGGGAAGGGCGAAUUGGUCAAUAUGAACAUCUUCUUUCCUCUUUCUUUCAACGUAUGAAGCAUCUCUAUCAAUUUUGGCUGCAGAUUAACAAACCUUACAAGGAUUGAAGAAGUGAAGCAAAGACUAGACAUUCAAAGAAACUUUGGUCGAGAUUGGAGUUUAUAAAGCCUCAUAGUAUGUGUGUAUAACUGAGGAGUUGCAGAUGCUACAAUACAGAUGAUGAGACUUGAGCACACAUUUUUUUGCAGGUACUUGGCUGGAUUGCUCAAGAUUUCACGGUGCAGGUUUCCACUCGUGUGGAUGUAUUUGAUGCAUUUCUGGACGUCUUCGUACACGUAGGUGCAGUCGAAGCGUAGCUUCUGGUUUACGAAGUGUUGGAUAACAUCUGCUAGCAGGCAUACCUGCGUUCUCCGCAUCGCAGGCUUCACAUUCAGUCCAAUUGUAUAAACAUCCCAACGCAUAGCAAGAACAGGACGCUACUUGUAGGAGUAUGCGAGUUGAGUUUUAUACCUCACUGAGGCAGAAGAGAUCCAUAAGAGGUACAAGGUUGCGUAUAUGUUCCGCACUCACGUGCUUCCCAGGAUAACAAGACUCCAACUCAUCCUCGUCAAGCUGCAAACGGUAUUAAUUGAUUGUAUUUGUAAGAAUGAAUUGAUUUCACAGGGAAUGUACUAAAAACAAGCGUAGGACAAAUUCUAUUUUUCAAAUGCUGAGAUGGUUUAAGCAUUACCCUGCGCCGGCCGAAGAAGCACCCACCGGGCUGGACCGAGUUGAAGAGGUCUAACUUGAGCAGGUUGCAGAAUUAGAGAAUCAAGUCCUUACCGCAGGGAUUCAUUUUCGGGAGCUAUGCCACCUGGUCCGGGAGAGUUAUAAACGAUUUCUUGACGCGAUCAAAUUCUGUUUUGAGCUCCACCAAAUUUCCGACUGCAAGCUCUCCAGGAUUCUGUGCGUACUGUCCCUCUCUCUCGGCAGGGGAGAGGCUGAUGGAAUGACUCACUACUCUUUGAACACGGCAGACGGGGUCACCAUUCCCACCGCUCUCACCACCUUGAAUAGCCAUGGCAGCUAAACCGUCUCUGGGCUCUGUUUUUGUAUCUUGGGACCGCUGUGCAUACACGUCCCCACCUUAAGUCUAUCGCAAUCACUUCCUCACAACAACCUCAAAGUUUGCUUGUACCUCGUCGCUCAUCGCCGUAUACGUGUAAUUUUAUUGCCUACUUUAAGGGGACAGAUAUGGACAGCAGCUAUUACCAACGCAAAAUCCUUGACAAGUUCAUUUUC